CCUGCUAUACGACCAGCAGUUGCCUACCUGAACGUGCGCGACCGGUAACGGUCGGGUUCGAAGCUUCGGGGACAACGUACCCUCCUUAUGGGCGACUCAUCCGGGCGACCGGAAAGGAGCCGACACUGCCAGCA
rfam:Candidatus Burkholderia verschuerenii strain TZHbot4 BVERctg267, whole genome shotgun sequence.